AAGUCGACAUAAAUGUGUGUUGUUGUAAAAAUAGAAAUUCUCUUGGAUUUUUUUUCUUUCUUCAUAACACAUUUUGUCGUCGAAAGGAAAUGUCGAGCGAGCAAGAGAGGGAGAUAGAAACAGAAAGAGUGAAAUUGUGCAGAGACCCUCGAAAGAAAAAUUGAAUUCAGACACAAACUGAAUUGGAAUCAGACAAUAAAAAUUCGGCAAUAGUUUUUCUAAUUGUUGGUUGUGCUCUAGCUGCACCCCUUGAUUCCACUGAAAUCACUGAAGUAAACGAAGUUACUGAAUCAAGUCUUGCACUACAGAAUGGUACGGAAUAUACUUCCACCGGAAAUGAAGAUUCCACCUCUCCACCCAUUGAGGCCAAUGUAAGUGCUUUUUCUAUCUAUGGAGCUGGCCUGAGUAAAUUCAUUGAAGCAUAUGCGGUAUGGACCGGAGAUAACAGCACUUUGAAUGCCAUCAAAAUGUACAAUGAAAAUCGAUCCUUGGAUGAUGAAACGAUCAACAAAAUGUCUCGUCAGUAUGAAAAAAUGUAUGGAGGCUCAGCAGGACAUUUUGUGGCUGUUCAUAAUGGACGAUUCAAUAAUAAUAUUCCUUCUGCUCCAUCCAACAACGUGGACUGGCAAGAGUACUUACAUUUGUGUGAAGACCUAUGUGCCGUGCAAAUAUUUCGUGAGAUUAUUCUACGGGAUUUCAAUCUCACUGCAUUCAAAACGUAUCCAUCCGAAAAACAGAAUGGAUCUCUCCCAUCAUCUUCAGAGCUUCAUCGUUCCAUCAAUGAUCAAGUUCCUCUUGACACGAUAUCUAAAAUGUGUGAUGAAAAGUUUGCGAUGAUUAUAAAUUGUAGUUUUUUUCGCUAUCGUAAAAUAUCACCAUUCACCAAGUACGAGCUAGCAGUUAAUCUCCACAAAAACAUUGUUGCUAUUAAAACAAAAUCGGUGUAUGAGACAAUCGGAGAUGAAAAAUUGUUCGAUUCAAAAGAUUAUUGAACUUUUCCGUAGGCUCAUUCUUCAAAAUCGUGAAAUUUCGUUUGUCUUUUUCUUACUUAAAUUCAAAUGUAUGUCAUU